GACGAACGCUGGCGGCGUGCCUAAUACAUGCGAGUUGAGCGCUGAAGGUUGGUACUUGUACCAACUGGAUGAGCAGCGAACGGGUGAGUAACGCGUGGGGAAUCUGCCUUUGAGCGGGGGACAACAUUUGGAAACGAAUGCUAAUACCGCAUAAAAACUUUAAACACAAGUUUUAAGUUUGAAAGAUGCAAUUGCAUCACUCAAAGAUGAUCCCGCGUUGUAUUAGCUAGUUGGUGAGGUAAAGGCUCACCAAGGCGAUGAUACAUAGCCGACCUGAGAGGGUGAUCGGCCACAUUGGGACUGAGACACGGCCCAAACUCCUACGGGAGGCAGCAGUAGGGAAUCUUCGGCAAUGGACGAAAGUCUGGCCGAGCAACGCCGCGUGAGUGAAGAAGGUUUUCGGAUCGUAAAACUCUGUUGGUAGAGAAGAACGUUGGUGAGAGUGGAAAGCUCAUCAAGUGACGGUAACUACCCAGAAAGGGACGGCUAACUACGUG
rnacentral:rRNA from 1 species